GCCACUUUGGCUUAGUGGCAGAGCGUCGCUCUCGUAAAGCGAAGGUCGCAGGUUCGAUUCCUGCAAGUGGCA
rnacentral:tRNA from 1 species